rnacentral:rRNA from 1 species
AGAGUUUGAUCAUGGCUCAGGAUGAACGCUGACAGAAUGCUUAACACAUGCAAGUCUACUUGAUCCUUCGGGUGAUGGUGGCGGACGGGUGAGUAACGCGUAAAGAACUUGCCCUGCAGUCUGGGACAACAUUUGGAAACGAAUGCUAAUACCGGAUAUUAUGUGAGUUUCGCAUGAAAUUCAUAUGAAAGCUAUAUGCGCUGCAGGAGAGCUUUGCGUCCUAUUAGCUAGUUGGUGAGGUAACGGCUCACCAAGGCGAUGAUAGGUAGCCGGCCUGAGAGGGCGAACGGCCACAAGGGGACUGAGACACGGCCCUUACUCCUACGGGAGGCAGCAGUGGGGAAUAUUGGACAAUGGACCAAAAGUCUGAUCCAGCAAUUCUGUGUGCACGAUGAAGUUUUUCGGAAUGUAAAGUGCUUUCAGUUGGGACGAAGUAAGUGACGGUACCAACAGAAGAAGCGACGGCUAAAUACGUGCCAGCAGCCGCGGUAAUACGUAUGUCGCAAGCGUUAUCCGGAUUUAUUGGGCGUAAAGCGCGUCUAGGCGGUUUGGUAAGUCUGAUGUGAAAAUGCGGGGCUCAACUCCGUAUUGCGUUGGAAACUGCCAAACUAGAGUACUGGAGAGGUGGGCGGAACUACAAGUGUAGAGGUGAAAUUCGUAGAUAUUUGUAGGAAUGCCGAUGGGGAAGCCAGCCCACUGGACAGAUACUGACGCUAAAGCGCGAAAGCGUGGGUAGCAAACAGGAUUAGAUACCCUGGUAGUCCACGCCGUAAACGAUGAUUAUUAGGUGUUGGGGGUCGAACCUCAGCGCCCAAGCUCACGCGCAUAAGUCAUCCGCCUGGGGAGC